GCCAGGUGUGGUGGCACAUGCCUGUAAUCCCAGCAGCUCUGGAGGCUGAGGCAAGAGGAUCAGUGAGUUCAAAGCCAGCCCCAGCAACAGCAAGGUGCUAAGCUACUCGGUGAGAUCCUGUCUCUA
rnacentral:sRNA from 1 species